UAGUCCGCACCGUAAACGAUGAAUGCUCGUCCUGCGCGAUAUACAGUGCGGGACCAAGCGAAAGCAUUAAGCAUUCCACCUGGGGAGUACGCCGGCAACGGUGAAACUCAAAGGAAUUGACGGGGGCCCGCACAAGCGGAGGAACAUGUGGUUUAAUUCGAUGAUACGCGAAGAACCUUACCCGGGCUUGAAUUGCACUGGACAGCUUUAGAGAUAGAGUUUUCUUCGGACCAGUGUGA
rnacentral:rRNA from 1 species